GAUCACACAACCAAUACUUUACAAGCAGCGCCCAUUAGUAUUUAAACGACUGUGAGGUCCUCUCAUAAUUCAUAUAGAACGAACAGGAGGUUAUAAUUUAGUGGGAGCUAUGAACACCUCCCUGUGAUGAUACAAAGACGACCUCAAAUAAGCCUCUCUCUCUUAAACCCUAACCAUGCCAAAUUGUUAGCAGACAGCUAAAUCUACCUCCCCAAACAAACAAUUGGCGCCACUUCAACAUUGAUACCAACCGAAUACACACGGCCAACUUUGUAUCCAAAUUUUCUUAACCCACCACCGACCCCAAUCAGACCUCCACGCUAAGUUGGAUAAACUAGC
rnacentral:misc_RNA from 1 species